CAGCCGCCACGGGAAUACGUAGGUGGCAAGCGUUGUCCGGAAUUAUUGGGCGUAAAGGGCUCGCAGGCGGUUUCUUAAGUCUGAUGUGAAAGCCCCCGGCUCAACCGGGGAGGGUCAUUGGAAACUGGGAAACUUGAGUGCAGAAAAGGAGAGUGGAAUUCCACGUGUAGCGGUGAAAUGCGUAGAGAUGUGGAGGAACACCAGUGGCGAAGGCGACUCUCUGGUCUGUAACUGACGCUGAGGAGCGAAAGCGUGGGGAGCGAACAGGAUUAGAGACCCCUGUAGUCCCUGUCUCUUAUAC
rnacentral:rRNA from 1 species